rnacentral:rRNA from 1 species
CAGAGGUGGCAAGCGUUGUUCGGAAUUACUGGGCGUAAAGGGCGCGUAGGCGGCUUUUUAAGUCAGACGUGAAAUCCCCAGGCUUAACCUGGGAACUGCGUCUGAUACUGAGAAGCUUGAGUUCGGGAGAGGGAUGUGGAAUUCCAGGUGUAGCGGUGAAAUGCGUAGAUAUCUGGAGGAACACCGGUGGCGAAGGCGGCAUCCUGGACCGAAACUGACGCUGAGGCGCGAAAGCCAGGGGAGCAAACGGGAUUAGAUACCCCGGUAGUCCUGGCCCUAAACGAUGAGUGCUUGGUGUGGCGGGUAUCGAUCCCUGCCGUGCCGAAGCUAACGCAUUAAGCACUCCGCCUGGGGGAGUACGGUCGCAAGGCUG